GGCUCUCUGUUUACAUAAAUAUAGGGAGUCGAGCCUGCCCAGUGAAUUUUUAAACGGCCGCGGUACUCUGACCGUGCAAAGGUAGCAUAAUCAUUUGCCUUAUAAUUGAAGGCUAGUAUGAAUGGUUUGACGAGAGCAACACUGUCUCCUUUUUAUUUUCAAGAACUUAACUUUUAGGUGAAGAGGCCUAAAUUUUAUUGAAGGACAAGAAGACCCUAUCGAGCUUAAAAGACAUUAUAGAAGUUUAUAUAUUCCUAAAUAAAUUUUCUAUUGAGCUUUUUAGUUGGGGCGACUAAGGAACAAAAAAAGCUUCUUGCUAAUAAUAGACAGUCAUGUUUAGAUCCGAUAAUAAUCGAUCAAAGAAAUUAGUUACCGUAGGGAUAACAGCAUAAUCUCUCUUGAGAGACCUAAUCGAAAGAGGGGGUUGUGACCUCGAUGUUGGACUAGAAUAUCCUAAAGAUGCAGAAGUCUUUGAAAGGUCGGUCUGUUCGACCGUUAAAAUUCU
rnacentral:rRNA from 1 species